CUGGGGGCUUGCAAGCAGGCACCCUGAGAAGAAUGCUGCUGCUGCCAGUUCUGACCCUGGCUGAAGCCUGCUUGCAUCCAUUCCCCUCCCUGUGGUGGAUCCACUGGGAACAGCAGCGGCAUGGGGAUGUUCCGCAUACAGCUGUGGCCAGCAGGCUGGCAGUGCUUGCUGCGUUUUCUCUCCUUCUGAUAGAUGGACAUGCACAAGUGCUGCUGCAACAGCGUCCACCAUCUGUUAUCAAAAAGGAAUCCACAACUGUGAGUAUUCAGUGCAAAGUCGAGGGCAUAGAUGACUUCCAGGCUGCCUACAUCCACUGGUACCGACAACUGCCUGCCGGAGCUCCUGAAAGGCUUCUCUAUGUGACAGGAGUAUCACAAGUUUACUACGAUUCAGACUCCAAUAAGAACAAAUAUUUGUCUUCCAAAGUGGGGAAUAAAAUUUGCACUAUCUCAGUUCUUAAUGUACGUGAUGAUGAUGAAGGUACCUACUACUGUGCCUACUGGGUGUCUCACAGAGGGAACAGACUGCAGGCAGCCCUUACAGAAAGCCGGCUGCAGCUUCAGCAGCACACUUUCAUUCAAGGGCCAAAAAUCACAGCCGCCUUCCUUCCCACAUCUCUCAGCCUUCACAUCAUCCCCACAUGCUGAAAUGGGGAAGGAAAUCCAAGAGGAAAGCCAAGAUACUUAUAUGGCCAUCACGUUGACAACACACUGUACUGUGGGCUGAUGAAAGUUGCUUCUUGGGCAUAUCCAGGGGUCUGAGCAAAGUGACCGGAGGAAGGGCACAACUGAACAACCCUGGUUUCAGUUUCCAUGCUUAACAAGAUUUGUGGGUAAGAUUUAAUGUGAUAUAGCAGAUAGAUAGAUAGAUAGAUAGAUAGAUAGAUAGAUAGAUAGAUAGAUAGAUAGACAGACUGAUAGAUAGAUGAAUGCAGAAAAAGACGUUAUUAGAAUGUCUAUUUUAGGUCCCCUCUGUAGUGUUACUGAUUGCAUUUUGUUUGACAGAGAAUUUACCGCACACAAAUAUGCGCUUCAUUGUAGUGAGCUGAAGACCUUCCGUUGGAUGAGCCAUGAGUCAUUUCCUCCUCUCAGCCACUGAGGAUUUCUCCAUCUUUAUGGCUUUGUAACACUCAUACCACGACUUCAGUUCGACAGUUUGCUCAUGCAGACAACAUGCUGCUGCUUCCUUUACUCAUUGUGACUUCAUUUUGGUCCUGUAAGUGCUGUUUCCUUUCUCCUCUCCAUCCUGUGCAUGGAGAACACAGACCCUGCUGCAUAGCUCGGUGCUUCCUUGCCUACAUGUGGUUUCUCCCUGCUCCC